UACACUCCAAUUUGUAUAAGUUGGAACGUUUGCCUACGUUUGCCGCUAGGGGCGCUGUUCCAACUGCAUACAGAUUUGAGUUA
rnacentral:pre_miRNA from 1 species